rnacentral:rRNA from 1 species
CAAUAGCGUAUAUUUAAGUUGUUGCAGUUAAAAAGCUCGUAGUUGGAUUUCGGAUGGGAUUUGCCGGUCCGUCGUUACGAUGUGCACUGGCCAGUCCUAUCUUGUUGUCGGGGACUAGCUCCUUGGAUUCACUUCCUGGGACUAGGAGCUGACGAGGUUACUUUGAGUAAAUUAGAGUGUUCAAAGCAAGCCUACGCUCUGAAUACAUUAGCAUGGAAUAACACGAUAGGACUCUGGCUUAUCUUGUUGGUCUGUGAGACCAGAGUAAUGAUUAAGAGGGUCAGUUGGGGGCAUUCGUAUUUAAUUGUCAGAGGUGAAAUUCUUGGAUUUAUGAAAGACGAACUAGUGCGAAAGCAUUUGCCAAGGAUGUUUUCAUUAA